GUGGGGAAUAUUGCACAAUGGAGGAAACUCUGAUGCAGCGACGCCGCGUGAGUGAAGAAGUAUCUCGGUAUGUAAAACUCUAUCAGCAGGGAAGAUAAUGACGGUACCUGACUAAGAAGCACCGGCUAAAUACGUGCCAGCAGCCGCGGUAAUACGUAUGGUGCAAGCGUUAUCCGGAUUUACUGGGUGUAAAGGGUGCGUAGGUGGUAUGGCAAGUCAGAUGUGAAAGCACGGGGCUCAACCCCGUGACUGCAUUUGAAACUGUCAAACUAGAGUGCAGGAGAGGAAAGUGGAAUUCCUAGUGUAGCGGUGAAAUGCGUAGAUAUUAGGAAGAACACCAGUGGCGAAGGCGGCUUUCUGGACUGUAACUGACACUGAGGCACGAAAGCGUGGGGAGCAAACAGGAUUAGAAACCCUAGUAGUCC
rnacentral:rRNA from 1 species